CCUACGGGAGGCAGCAGUGAGGAAUAUUGGGCAAUGGACGAGAGUCUGAACCAGCCAAGUAGCGUGAAGGAUGACUGCCCUAUGGGUUGUAAACUUCUUUUAUAUGGGAAUAAAACGUUCCACGUGUGGGAUUUUGUAUGUACCAUAUGAAUAAGGAUCGGCUAACUCCGUGCCAGCAGCCGCGGUAAUACGGAGGAUCCGAGCGUUAUCCGGAUUUAUUGGGUUUAAAGGGAGCGUAGGUGGAUUGUUAAGUCAGUUGUGAAAGUUUGCGGCUCAACCGUAAAAUUGCAGUUGAAACUGGCAGUCUUGAGUACAGUAGAGGUGGGCGGAAUUCGUGGUGUAGCGGUGAAAUGCUUAGAUAUCACGAAGAACUCCGAUUGCGAAGGCAGUUCACUGGACUGCAACUGACACUGAGGCUCGAAAGUGUGGGUAUCAAACAGGAUUAGAUACCCCAGUAGUC
rnacentral:rRNA from 1 species